CAUUGAUCUAAAUAUAUCAUAUCAUUCUUCUAAAAGGAUAAUCUAAGGUACAUUAUUUUAUCUUUUGAUCUCAAACUUUAUUCAAGUUCCUCAACAUCCUUCAACAAGCUAUUUCCCAGCCAGUUUUUGAAAACUUUACUUUUUGAAAAGUAUCGAGCAAUAUUUAAUUUAAUAAGUAGAAUAAACGUAUUGAAAUAGUGAAUAGUUUAUAAAAAUCCACUAUACAAGUCAGUGAAACUAAAAGGUAAGAUGAUCGUGUUAAUUUUUCUAAUCUUCAUGACAGACUACAUUCUAGGUAGAAGCAUUGAUCUAAAUAUAUCAUAUCAUUCUUCUAAAAGGAUAAUCUAAGGUACAUUAUUUUAUCUUUUGAUCUCAAACUUUAUUCAAGUUCCUCAACAUCCUUCACCAAGCUAUUUCCCGGCCAGUUUUUGAAAAAUUUACUUUUUGAAAAGUAUCGAGCAAUAUUUAAUUUAAUAAGUAGAAUAAACGUAUUGAAAUAGUGAGUAGUUUAUAAAAAUCCACUAUACAAGUCAGUGAAACUAAAAGGUAAGAUGAUCGUGUUAAUUUUUCCAAUCUUCAUGACAGACUACAUUCUAGGUAGAAGCAUUGAUCUAAAUAUAUCAUAUCAUUCUUCUAAAAGGAUAAUCUAAGGUACAUUAUUUUAUCUUUUGAUCUCAAACUUUAUUCAAGUUCCUCAACAUCCUUCACCAAGCUAUUUCCCAGCCAGUUUUUGAAAAAUUUACUUUUUGAAAAGUAUCGAGCAAUAUUUAAUUUAAUAAGUAGAAUAAAC
rnacentral:misc_RNA from 1 species